rnacentral:rRNA from 1 species
CGGUAAUUCCAGCUCCAAUAGCGUAUAUUAAAGUUGUUGCGGUUAAAAAGCUCGUAGUUGGAUUUCUGCCGAGGACAUCCGGUCCGCCCUCUGGGUGAGCAUCUGGUUUGGCCUGGGCAUCCUCUUGGGGAACGUAUCUGCACUUCAUUGUGUGGUGCGGUAUCCAGGUCUUUUACUUUGAGGAAAUGAGAGUGUUCCAAGCAGGCUAUUGCCGUGAAUACGUUAGCAUGGAAUAAUAGCAUCGGAUUUCAUUCCAAAGCUGUUGGUUUCUUGGGGUGAGAUGAAGGUAAAUAGGGACAGUUGGGGGCAUUCGUAUUUAACUGUCAGAGGUGAAAUUCUUGGAUUUGUUGAAGACGGACUACUGCGAAAGCAUCUGCCAAAGAUGUUCUCAUUGAUCAAGAACGAAAGUUAGGUGAUCGAAGACGAUCAGAUACCGUCCUAGUCUUAACCAUAAACUAUGCCAACUGGAGAUUGGAGGCUGUUAGAUUCUAUAUCGCCUUCUGCAUCUUGAGAGAAAUCAAAGUCUUUGGGUUCCGGGGGGAGUAUGGUCGCAAGGCUGAAACUUAAAGGAAUUGACGGAAGGGCACCACCAGGAGUGGAGCCUGCGGCUUAAUUUGACUCAACACGGGGAAACUUACCAGGUCCAGACAUAAUAAGGAUUGACAUCUUUCUUGAUUCUAUGGGUGGUGGUGCAUGGCCGUUCUUAGUUGGUGGAGUGAUUUGUCUGCUUAAUUGCGUUAACGAACGAGACCUUAACCUGCUAAAUAGUUACGCGAAACUCACGUUUCGUGGCUAACUUCUUAGAGGGACUUUGCGUGUCUAACGCAAGGAAGUUUGAGGCAAUAACAGGUCUGUGAUGCCCUUAGAUGUUCUGGGCUGCACGCGCGCUACACUGAUGCAUUCAACGAGUUUAUAACCUUGCCCGGUAGGGUUGGGUAAUCUUUUGAAAAUGCAUCGUGAUGGGGAUAGAUUAUUGCAAUUAUUAAUCUUCAACGAGGAAUUCCUAGUAAGCAUGAGUCAUCAGCUCGUGCUGAUUACGUCCCUGCUCUUUGUACACACCGCCC